rnacentral:rRNA from 1 species
GACGAACGCUGGCGGCGUGCCUAAUACAUGCAAGUCGAACGAACUCUGGUAUUGAUUGGUGCUUGCAUCAUGAUUUACAUUUGAGUGAGUGGCGAACUGGUGAGUAACACGUGGGAAACCUGCCCAGAAGCGGGGGAUAACACCUGGAAACAGAUGCUAAUACCGCAUAACAACUUGGACCGCAUGGUCCGAGCUUGAAAGAUGGCUUCGGCUAUCACUUUUGGAUGGUCCCGCGGCGUAUUAGAUAGAUGGCGGGGUAACGGCUCCCCAUGGCAAUUAUACGUAGCCGACCUGAGAGGGUAAUCGGCCACAUUGGGACUGAGACACGACCCAAACUCCUACGGGAGGCAGCAGUAGGGAAUCUUCCACAAUGGACGAAAGUCUGAUGGAGCAACGCCGCGUGAGUGAAGAAGGGUUUCGGCUCGUAAAACUCUGUUGUUAAAGAAGAACAUAUCUGAGAGUAACUGUUCAGGUAUUGACGGUAUUUAACCAGAAAGCCACGGCUAACUACGUGCCAGCAGCCGCCGUAA